GGUGAGUAACACGUGACUAACCUGCCCUCGAGUGGGGAAUAACUCCGGGAAACCGGAGCUAAUACCGCAUAACAUCGCAAGAUCAAAGUCGAAAGACGCUUGAUGAGGGGGUCGCGGCUGAUUAGCUAGUUGGUAGGGUAAUGGCCUACCAAGGCUGAGAUCGGUAUCCGGCCUGAGAGGGCGCACGGACACACUGGAACUGAAACACGGUCCAGACUCCUACGGGAGGCAGCAGUGGGGAAUUUUGCGCAAUGGGGGAAAGCCUGACGCAGCAACGCCGCGUGGAGGAUGAAGUCCCUUGGGACGUAAACUCCUUUCGACCCGGACGAUACUGACGGUACGGGUGGAAGAAGCACCGGCUAACUCUGUGCCAGCAGCCGCGGUAAUACAGAGGGUGCGAGCGUUGUUCGGAAUUA
rnacentral:rRNA from 1 species